rnacentral:sRNA from 2 species
GCCUCCGUAAAUCCGGGGGUCGGGAUUGGCGUCCCGUUGGGAAAGGCGGACAUACCGCCUAAGCGCGGUUUUUUU